AGCGAACGCUGGCGGCGUGCUUAACACAUGCAAGUCGAGUGCGUAGCCCUUUGUAGCAAUACAGAGGGUGGGCGCACGGCGCACGGGUGAGUAACACGUGGGUAACCUGCCCUUCGGUGGGGAAUAACCCCGCGAAAGCGGGGCUAAUUCCGCAUAACAUUCCGGGGACACAUGUUCUCGGACUCAAAGGAGUGAUUCGCCGGAGGAGGGGCCCGCGCCCGAUUAGCUUGUUGGUAGGGUAACGGCCACCAAGGCUUUGAUCGGUAGCCGGUCUGAGAGGAUGGCCGGCCACACUGGAACUGAGACACGGUCCAGACUCCUACGGGAGGCAGCAGUGGGGAAUCUUGCGCAAUGGGCGAAAGCCUGACGCAGCGACGCCGCGU
rnacentral:rRNA from 1 species